rnacentral:rRNA from 1 species
AAGCCACCCUCUUAUGAAGGUAUGCUUAAAGAGGGGCUUGCGCCACAUUAGUUAGUUGGUAGGGUAAAAGCCUACCAAGACGAUGAUGUGUAGCUGGACUGAGAGGUUGAACAGCCACAUUGGGACUGAGACACGGCCCAAACUCCUACGGGAGGCAGCAGUAGGGAAUUUUCGGCAAUGGAGGAAACUCUGACCGAGCAACGCCGCGUGAACGAUGAAGUAUUUCGGUAUGUAAAGUUCUUUUAUUGAAGAAGAAAAAGUAGUGGAAAAACUAUAUUGACGUUAUUCAAUGAAUAAGCCCCGGCUAACUAUGUGCCAGCAGCCGCGGUAAGACAUAGGGGGCGAGCGUUAUCCGGAAUUAUUGGGCGUAAAGGGUGCGUAGGCUGUUAGAUAAGUCUAUAAUUUAAUUUCAGUGCUUAACGCUGUCUUGUUAUAGAAACUGUCUUGACUAGAGUGAGAUAGAGGCAAGCGGAAUUCCAUGUGUAGCGGUAAAAUGUGCACAUAUAUGGAGGAACACCAGAAGCGUAGGCGGCUUGCUGGGUCUUUA